rnacentral:rRNA from 1 species
GAUGAACGCUGGCGGCGUGCCUAAUACAUGCAAGUCGAGCGAACGGACGAGAAGCUUGCUUCUCUGAUGUUAGCGGCGGACGGGUGAGUAACACGUGGAUAACCUACCUAUAAGACUGGGAUAACUUCGGGAAACCGGAGCUAAUACCGGAUAAUAUUUUGAACCGCAUGGUUCAAAAGUAAAAGACGGUCUUGCUGUCACUUAUAGAUGGAUCCGCGCUGCAUUAGCUAGUUGGUAAGGUAACGGCUUACCAAGGCAACGAUGCAUAGCCGACCUGAGAGGGUGAUCGGCCACACUGGAACUGAGACCCGGUCCAGACUCCUACGGGAGGCAGCAGUAGGGAAUCUUCCGCAAUGGGCGAAAGCCUGACGGAGCAACGCCGCGUGAGUGAUGAAGGUCUUCGGAUCGUAAAACUCUGUUAUUAGGGAAGAACAUAUGUGUAAGUAACUGUGCACAUCUUGACGGUACCUAAUCAGAAAGCCACGGCUAACUACGU